UUUAACGAUCCAUUCUGGCCUAUUGACAAACCAUUGUACAAGGCCUUUCGUUGUUGUACUUGAUUUUAAUUCUAGGUAUCUUCAAAACAGUAAGAUAACUCAACUCACUGGAAACGUUCUCUCAGGGCUCGCAAAGCUACGAACGCUGUAUCUGGAAAACAAUGCACUAACUCAACUCACUGGAAACGUUUUCUCAGGGCUCGGAAACCUACAAACGCUGUAUCUUCAAAAUAGUAAGAUAACUCAACUCACUGGAAACGUUUUCUCAGGGCUCGCAAAGCUACGAACGCUGGAAAUUGAACUCGCCAAAAACACAG